CAGCCGCCGCGGGAAUACGUAGGUGGCAAGCGUUGUCCGGAAUUAUUGGGCGUAAAGCGCGCGCAGGUGGUUUAAUAAGUCUGAUGUGAAAGCCCACGGCUCAACCGUGGAGGGUCAUUGGAAACUGUUAAACUUGUGUGCAGGAGAGAAAAGUGGAAUUCCUAGUGUAGCGGUGAAAUGCGUAGAGAUUAGGAGGAACACCAGUGGCGAAGGCGGCUUUUUGGCCUGUAACUGACACUGAGGCGCGAAAGCGUGGGGAGCAAACAGGAUUAGAUACCCCUGUAGUCCCUGUCUCUUAUAC
rnacentral:rRNA from 1 species